GCCCGGGUGGCGGAAUUGGCAGACGCGCAAGCUUGAGGUGCUUGUGCCCGAUUUCAGGGCGUGCUGGUUCGAAUCCAGUCCCGGGCA
rnacentral:tRNA from 1 species